AGCUUUGCACAGUGGCAGUAUCGUAGCCAAUGAGGUUUAUCCGAGGCGCGAUUAUUGCUAAUUGAAAACUAAAUUAUAUAAAGUAUUUAGCAUGAUGCCAGGUACAAAAUGACAAUUCAAUAAAACUUAGCUCUAUAA
rnacentral:snRNA from 1 species